CUCAACAACUCCACAUUAUCACAUUAAUUCAUUUUCACACUUAAAGGGUAUCAAAUUCCCUAACCAAAGUUUAUUAAAUAAAUUGCAUGAUGGAGCCAGAGUACACAGGAGGAUCAGCAUGUUGCUUUUGCUUCUCCUCCUCCACCAAGAAGAGUGUUGCAAGGAAUGGUAAAAGAAGCACUGGAGUGUUGAGUUCAGAACACGUUGUUGAGUGGGGAAAGAAUGAUGAAAUACUCUCAGACAUGAGCACCUUUUCGGUGAAAGAACAAGAAAGUAGGCUGAAGAAAGCGUUGGAAGAGGAAGAGAGGGUAAGCAAGGAAGCAGAGAGGCUUGUCAAAUGGGUGAAACAGGAAUCAGCUAGAAUUGAUGUUUCUACAAUCAAAUCAAUUCUCAGUGACGAUGAAAAUGAAGCAAAUGUUAAGUAAUACUUUUGUCUACUUUAUUUUAUUUUGGGUGGUGUGUUCCUUUGGCUUCAAGUUAAGCAUCAGAUUGCGACGUAAAUGGAAAUAACGAAGAAGAAACAUCUGUUGACCUUGUCCACGAAGGAGUUGUGUUGGACUCGUCUAUCAGCUCCAUUGUUCCCAGUCACAUAUAUGAAGAAAUAUCUACAUGCUUUCACCAUUGGAAAUUACAUUUGGUUAUAGGCUAUGUUGGUUAUGAAGUAUAAAUUGAUGAACUAAUUAAAAUUGGCUUCUAGCCCCUUAAAUUAAGUAGUGGUAGAAAGUUAAAAAGGUUGAAAGAGAUGCAUAGGGUUCGGAUGAGCUGUCUUUCUCUCUUCUAUAUCUGGAAUGAGUGUAUACUUUUUUUUUUGUUUUGUUUUUGAAAAGUGUAUACUAAUUAUUUUGAAAAGUGUAUGGUCAUGGAUCAUGUAAUAGUUGCAAUAUGUUGUGAUCCAAUUCUUCUUUGGUGUUGCAAACAUUGACUUUGAUAUCUAUAUUGUUGAAUUUUAUUUU